rnacentral:rRNA from 1 species
AACGAACGCUGGCGGCAGGCUUAACACAUGCAAGUCGAGCGCCCCGCAAGGGGAGCGGCAGACGGGUGAGUAACGCGUGGGAAUCUACCGUACCCUACGGAAUAACGCAUGGAAACGUGUGCUAAUACCGUAUACGCCCUUAGGGGGAAAGAUUUAUCGGGGUAUGAUGAGCCCGCGUCGGAUUAGCUAGUUGGUGGGGUAAAGGCCUACCAAAGCGACGAUCCAUAGCUGGUCUGAGAGGAUGAUCAGCCACAUUGGGACUGAGACACGGCCCAAACUCCUACGGGAGGCAGCAGUGGGGAAUAUUGGACAAUGGGCGCAAGCCUGAUCCAGCCAUGCCGCGUGAGUGAUGAAGGUCUUAGGAUUGUAAAGCUCUUUCACCGAUGAAGAUAAUGACGGUAGUCGGAGAAGAAGCCCCGGCUAACUUCGUGCCAGCCGCCGCCGUAAUAC